CUACGGGAUGCUCCAGUGAGGAAUAUUGCACAAUGGGGGGAACCCUGAUGCAGCAACGCCGCGUGGAGGAUGACGCAUUUCGGUGUGUAAACUCCUUUUAUAUGUCAAGAAAAUGACGGUAGCAUAUGAAUAAGCACCGGCUAACUCCGUGCCAGCAGCCGCGGUAAUACGGAGGGUGCAAGCGUUACUCGGAAUCACUGGGCGUAAAGGACGCGUAGGCGGGUUGGAAAGUCAGGUGUGAAAUCCUACAGCUUAACUGUAGAACUGCACUUGAAACUUCUAAUCUAGGGUAUGGGAGGGGGAGAUGGAAUUAGUGGUGUAGGGGUAAAAUCCGUAGAUAUCACUAGGAAUACCUAAAGCGAAGGCGAUCUCCUGGAACAUUACUGACGCUAAGGCGUGAAAGCGUGGGGAGCAAACAGGAUUAGACACCCUCGUAGUC
rnacentral:rRNA from 1 species